AAGGGAAGAGAAUUGAGAAAUGGAAGAGAAACGAAAACAAAUUCUGUUGUGGCGUUUCUUAAUUCAAAAGCAACAGGGCCCCGUCUCAUGUUAACAAAGAGAAUGGAUAGAGUGGAGAUAACAUAUUAUGCUUUUGGAUGAUCUUUUUGUUUUACACCGUUUCCUUGGACACUGAAAACAGAGAAUAAAAGGUUUUGAUUGUCUGUUAAGAACUUUGUUUUCCUUGAACUUGAUAACGGGGUUUUGAUUUUGUGAUACAGAUUCAAUGCUGGAUGCUCUUGCAAGCAUACCAGGAGAAUCAACCCUGAAUUUUUUGAAGGCCAAGUGCCUCAUGAGCGUAAAACUGAGUGAGUGAUGCAAGAGUACUGGACAGAUCAGAAGGCACGGAGUGAAAAAGGCAAGGCUAAGGUAGCCAGCUCCUAAUGCAGAGUAUCUCUUGGCGGUGAACGAGUUCUAGACCAUGAAAAGCAGCUGAUUGCUAGCCCCCAUAUUGACAGUGAUACCCACAUUCACUGGAAAAAAUCAUUUGGUCCAAGGACUCCUGCCAAUACAAACAAUGGUUC